AGCACCUCCUGUUAUAUAUAAUGACUUGUGAAGUUCAUCUCCUGAAUUAUGGAACGUCAUUGACAUUUUUUAUUCAACGAAGAGUUAACCACUCUUAAUAAUAAUGGGUUUUAUAGCGAAAUAGACUUUUUUAUCGCGUGUUCAAUAUUUGCGUUAGUUAUUAUUUUUUUGGAAUGUAAAUUCUCUCUAAACACAGGUGAUAUUUAUGUUGGAAUUGUGGUGUUGAUUCUAUUCUUAUAAUAUAACAAGAAAUGUUGUAACUGAUAGAUAUAUUAAAAGAUUAAAUCGGAGCGGGAAUAAAGCGUGCUAAGCAUCAUCGUGAAUAUGAUUACAGCGCCUGCGAUGGCAUAUAACCGUAUUGCGGCUGGAGCGUCACGUGAGGACUGUGAAGCACAAUGCGAUAUGUUCUGGUUAUAUGGCGAGUUUGCUUAAUGACAUGUUUUUAGCCGAUCGGUGUCAGGUUUCUUAAUGUGGUUGUGAGAUUUUCUCUUUAAAUAUCAAAAUGUUGCAUGGUGGGUUUGUUGUUCUAUAGUGGCUAAACACUUUAUGGUUUCUGUUAAAUAUAUAUGCGUGAGAAAAAUUAGCAUUCAAAUCUAUAAAAGUUAGAUGACAUUGUAGAACCGGUUACCUAAAUGAGCGAUAGAGUGCUUCGGUAGUAAAAAUAUCUUUCAGGAAGUAAACACAUCAGGAGCGAUAGCGGUGAAUUAUUCGUGGUUUUGUCGAUUCGGCAUAGUGGCGAUAACUGAAUGCCGGAUCGGUACUGCAGGUGUUUAAACACACCGUAAAUAAUAAGUAGUAUUAAGGAGUUGUU
rfam:Salmonella enterica subsp. enterica serovar Enteritidis str. LA5, WGS project CAGR02000000 data, contig: Scaffold10-Contig1